rnacentral:rRNA from 1 species
UACGUAGGGGGCAAGCGUUAUCCGGAUUUACUGGGUGUAAAGGGAGCGUAGACGGCGGCGCAAGUCUGGAGUGAAAGCCCGUGGCCCAACCACGGGACUGCUCUGGAAACUGUGCGGCUGGAGUGCGGGAGGGGCAGGCGGAAUUCCUAGUGCAGCGGUGAAAUGCGUAGAUAUUAGGAGGAACACCGGCGGCGAAGGCAGCCUGCUGGACCGUGACUGACGUUGAGGCUCGAAAGCGUGGGGAGCAAACAGG